AGAGUUUGAUCAUGGCUCAGAUUGAACGCUGGCGGCGUGCCUAACACAUGCAAGUCGAGCGGUAACAGGUGUAGCAAUACAUGCUGACGAGCGGCGAACGGGUGAGUAAUGCUUUGGAAUCUUCCCAGUAGUGGGGAAUAACCAGUCGAAAGAUUGGCUAAUACCGCAUACGUCUGUAAAGGGAAAGCGGGGGCUCGUAAGACCUCGCGCUAUUGGAUGAGCCAAAGUCGGAUUAGCUAGUUGGUGGGGUAAUGGCCUACCAAGGCGACAAUCCGUAGCUGGUCUGAGAGGACGACCAGCCACACCGGAACUGAGACACGGUCCGGACUCCUACGGGAGGCAGCAGUGGGGAAUAUUGGACAAUGGGGGAAACCCUGAUCCAGCGACGCCGCGUGUGUGAAGAAGGCCUGCGGGUUGUAAAGCACUUUUAGUGGGGACAAAAAGCUACGGAUUAAUACUCUGUGGUCUUGAUUUAACCCAAAGAAAAAGCACCGGCUAACUCUGUGCCAGCAGCCGCGGUAAUACAGAGGGUGCGAGCGUUAAUCGGAAUUACUGGGCGUAAAGCGCGCGUAGACGGUUUUGUAAGUCAGAUGUGAAAUCCCUGGGCUCAACCUGGGAACUGCAUUUGAGACUGCAUGGCUAGAGUAUCGAAGAGGGAAGUGGAAUUUCCGGUGUAGCGGUGAAAUGCGUAGAUAUCGGAAGGAACACCAGUGGCGAAAGCGACUUCCUGGUCGAAUACUGACGUUCAUGUGCGAAAGCGUGGGGAGCAAACAGGAUUAGAUACCCNNGUAGUCC
rnacentral:rRNA from 1 species